rnacentral:rRNA from 1 species
CAAACCCGGGGAACUGAAACAUCUAAGUACCCUGAGGAAAAGAAAUCAACCGAGAUUCCCAAAGUAGCGGCGAGCGAAAUGGGAUUAGCCCUUAAGUUACAGUGGAUUUAGCAGAACGCUCUGGAAAGUGCGGCGAUAGAGGGUGAUAGCCCCGUAUGCGAAAGGUCCAUUGUAGUGAAAACGAGUAGGUCGGGACACGUGAAAUCCUGAUUGAAUAUGGGGGGACCAUCCUCCAAGGCUAAAUACUCCUGACUGACCGAUAGUGAACCAGUACCGUGAGGGAAAGGC